rnacentral:rRNA from 1 species
UAGCAUAUCAAUAAGCGGAGGAAAAGAAACUAACAAGGAUUCCCCUAGUAACUGCGAGUGAAGCGGGAAAAGCUCAAAUUUAAAAUCUGAUAGUCUUUGGCUGUCCGAGUUGUAAUCUAGAGAAGCGUUUUCCGCGCUGGACCGUGUACAAGUCUUUUGGAAUAAAGCAUCAUAGAGGGUGAGAAUCCCGUCUUUGACACGGACUACCAGUGCUUUGUGAUGCGCUCUCAAAGAGUCGAGUUGUUUGGGAAUGCAGCUCAAAAUGGGUGGUAAAUUCCAUCUAAAGCUAAAUAUUGGCGAGAGACCGAUAGCGAACAAGUACCGUGAGGGAAAGAUGAAAAGCACUUUGGAAAGAGAGUUAAACAGUACGUGAAAUUGCUGAAAGGGAAACGCUUGAAGUCAGUCGCGUUGUUCAGAACUCAGCCUGGCUCCCGCUUGGUGUAUUUUCUGUAUAACGGGCCAGCAUCAAUUUUGAUCAUUGGAAAAAGGCUGGAGGAAUGUGGCACCUUCGGGUGUGUUAUAGCCUCUGGUUGCAUACAAUGGUUGGGAUUGAGGAUAUCAGCAUGCCUUUUGGCCGGGGUUCGCCCACGUUCAUGCUUAGGAUGCUGGCGUAAUGGCUUUAAACGACCCGUCUUGAAACACGGACCAAGGAGUCUAACAUGCCCGCGAGUGUUUGGGUGGAAAACCCGAGCGCGUAAUGAAAGUGAAAGUUGGGAUCCCUGUCGUGGGGAGCACCGACGCCCGGACUUGAACUUCUGUGACGGAUCCGCGGUAGAGCGUGUAUGUUGGGACCCGAAAGAUGGUGAACUAUGCCUGAAUAGGGUGAAGCCAGAGGAAACUCUGGUGGAGGCUCGUAGCGAUUCUGACGUGCAAAUCGAUCGUCAAAUUUGGGUAUAGGGGCGAAAGACUAAUCGAACCAUCUAGUAGCUGGUUCUGCGA